rnacentral:rRNA from 1 species
AACGCGAAGAACCUUACCAGGGCUUGAAACCUAGCUGCACGCUUAGGGAAACCUAAGAAGCCUUCGAGGGUGCUAGGCAGGUGAUGCAUGGUCGUCGUCAGUUCGUGGUUUGAACUGUUCCCUUAAGUGGGGAAACGAACGCAACCCCCGUUGCCUGUUUUAUAUGUCAGGCGAGACUGCUCCCUCACGGGAGAGGAAGGAGGGGAUGACGCCAGAUCAGCAUGUCCCUCUGAUGCCCUGGGCUGCACACGUGAUACAAUGGGCGCGACAAAAGGAUGCAAUAGCGUAAGCUGGAGCCAAUCCCCAAACGCGUCCUCAGUACGGAUAGAGGUCUGCAACUCGACCUCUUGAAGCUGGAAUCGCUAGUAAUCGUAGGUCAGCCAUACUACGGUGAAUACGUUCCCGGGCCUUGUACACACCGCUACAGU